UCACUUAUGAUAUAAAUCUUCAAGAUCUUUAGACAUCAAACCUCCCUAGGAAAGGGGAAUUCUCUCCAAGCCUUGCUCCGCCCCGGCUCCUGAACAAGCCCAGCUCUGUCUGGCAGUUUUUCUCCAGCGGGGGUAGGGGACAGGGUGAGAGAUUUUCAGUCUCCCAGACUGUCUCAUGAUUGUCCGGGCAUAAAGAAGUACAGUACUGCAACAAUGUGGGGACAUCUUUACCCUUUAGAGAGGGACAAAACAAACAACAAAGCAAAUCAAAUUGCUGUGCAUGAAGGCGUAGCAAAAGGCAAGACUCCCGGUCCCCUGCACCAUCUGUGGGCAGUGAGAAAUGAGGGUGGCCAUCGAGAAUGGUGAGCAGGACUUGGAGGACAAGAGCUCCAGGAAGAAUCCUAGGGGCCAGUCAGAUUUCCCCUCGAUGGCUUAACGUCAGACCCAGUGUCCACGCAUGCCAGGUCCAAACAAGAUCCGACUGUCCAUUUCUUUCACAUAUGCUCACAUGUAUUUCGUUUUUGAAAUGAGCUUUAGACAUUAAACCCAAAUUGAGAAAUCUGGGGCGAUUGUUCCUGUCUUAACGUUGGGGCAUUUAUAAAUAAAUCAAUCUGUGAUUUUAUGGUGGUGACAUUUUCGAUCAAUUGGUCAUGUCGUGCCAAUAUUUGUAUGGUUACUGCAAUAGGUUUUAUGCAUUGUGACAAUUUUUAUUGUUUAAAUUUGAAAGCCCUCUGUGUUUUCCAUAAGUUUGCCUGAAAUAAUAAGUCUGAGAUAGGACACAUCAACAGCACACAGAAAUCAGAUCUUCAUAGAAUUUGCAUCAGAGGUGGACAAUUUCAAAUAACUCAACAAACACAUUUUCCGCAGAGACUCUACGUCUGGAAUGCACAUUUCCUUACCCAAAUCAUAACCAUUUACUGAGCGCCUCUUCUCUUCAACCAAAUUCAUUUUCUUUUCCAUUCUUUUUGUUAAAUAAUGAUUUUUUCCUAUAAUUAGGACUUUGGAUUGCAAAAUCACAUUCCUCCUUUCUCCACAGAUUCUUGGAUCUUUAGUUGCGAUUAGAGACAUUAAUUCAAGAAGGGAGGAUGAGGGAGGGGAGUGUCCGUGGAUGUUUUUGGGAAGAGGAGAGGAGAGAGGAAAUAGUUCUGUGUCCACCACUCACUCCCCGCAGUUCCCUCCCGGCCAGGCCUGGGUGUGAGCUGCCUGGGGGGAUUUCGAUUCUGAGUUUAUUCUCAAAAUUCUGCUCACCAGCCUUGGGUGUUCUCGAGCUAAGAUUCCGAAGGAUGGCUGUUCCUUCUGGUUGGUUCUUUUGGUCAGGGUCAGGGACUAGGAGAGGCCGCUAAACCUUAGAGCACUUGGGUGGGGAGACGUGAGAACUGAUUUCCUGAGAGAAUCCCAACAAGGAGGGAUUGUUGGGAAUCCUGGCCCGAAAAGUGGGACCUGCAGUGCAGAUUCUUUUUGCCCUGGUUCAAGGUGACCUCAUUCAUUCCUAGAAGCCCGUGUGGGUUUCUGGUCUUCUCAGAGGGGUUUGCCGGGAGGAAAGCAGGCCCGAGGAGGCCAGGACAAUGGCAGUCCAAGCUAGGCCCAGGGGAGCAGAGCACAGGAAGGGGCCGAGGGGAGUAUUGCUUACAGAGGCCAACCUUGGCUUUUGACCCCCAUCGCUAGGGGUCAAUCCUAGGUCAUUCCCAGGGCCCUGGCUUCCCCCCAGGAAGGAUCUGUUUGCAGGGGCUGACAGACCCUGAAGUCCCCAUAAUUCCUAAAACAUUAACGAUGUCCUUAGCUUCAGAGCCCUGGCCCCUGACAACCUGACCCUUGUCCCAUCCCAGUUGUUCUCCAUGAUUUUAGCACCUCUUCUCCCCAGCCUAGUCACCCAGGGCCAUCAGAUAGACUCAGGUCACUGCCCUUGGGCCAGAAGGCAGUCACCUGAACUAAGGCCUUAGACCCAUUAAGUUAGUGCUGCCCCAGUUUAAGUGUAGACAAAGGCAGGCAUGGGAAGGAGGGCUGGGUGCUUGGCUGCCAGAAGGGCUGGGAGGUGGCUGUGGAAUGUUGAACGCUGGCGACAGCUUCUGGUGCCAGGGGUUUGGAAGCCUGGAAUGAAGGAGAUGAAGGCCUGGAGGAUGCUCAGGUGGCCCCCUGUCCCAGUUUCUAUAUCCCCCCCCAGCCACCGCACCUCCUCCUCCCCGCCUGGUCCCUGUGUGUGUUUCCGCUUGCUUUGCGCGGCCCUCUCGCCCCGGCUUUGCUGUCCCAGCUUGAGUGGGUCCAGGUGCGCUCCUCAGCCUCGUGGGUCUCGAACCGCGCGCAGCAGGUGCGGAAGGACGCGAGGCGGGGCCGCGGGGGCGGUCCCGGCGGCUACCUGAGACCACCGGGAAGUCCCUGCGUGCCCCACGCCCGCGGCGGCGCCUGGGGAGGCGGGCCGAUCAGGACGCCGGCCGUGCGGCUCCCCUCGGAGAUGCCCAAGACGCCGGCCGGCGCCCGGGGGCGCUAAGCCUCCAAACCCCGCGUGCCCCAGGGCCCCGCUCCCGCCCGGCGCCCGCGCCCCAGCCGGAGUCUCGAAUGCGUACUGGGAUGUGAUUUAAAAUUUUCCAGGAAGACUGCCCUGGCCAGAGAGGAGCACCCCCGGGUACCCAAGGGAAUCCUCUACAUCAGUGAUGUGAUCCUGUUGCCUGAAGUCAAAGAGGAGUGGAGUUAAUCACCUGGGAGGUCAUGCAGAGGUCGCUGGAGCUGCAAGCUAUGUUGAAAUAAAGGUGACAGCAAGUGAGGAGUGGAUCCCUAUUACUUCCACCCCCUCUCCCCCAGCAGAUUUCUCAUUCCGUUUUUGGUAUCCCAACCUCUGGACAAAAGAUCAGGUUUUAUGCUAGAGGAGCACAGAAGGCAAUCUGAAUAAAUAGAUGUCCAAGUCUUUUCCCAUUUCUCAUCUUUUCUCUCUGUCUUUUUCUCAAGUCAGAGAAGAAGAGUAAAAUUCAGACUAAGAUUUCGGUGCUUGCUAAUGACCGUGCUGCCCUCACUACUGGGCUUAGGGUACCAAGCUUUAAUAUCAGGGAUUUUUUAGCAUCCCUAAAUUUGCCUUUCAUUUUUGCUUCAGACGCUAUAAAAUAGAAGUGGCAGGAUUGCUGGAUACCCCUUCAGAUUGGUCCUUUGUAUGGAAAAGCAGUAUUUAGAGAGAAACAAAAUACAGGCCAUUGCUCGACUCCCUUUUAAAAGUAUAAGCUUCCCUUCUGUUGAUAAAAAGGAUAGCCCUUGUGGAAUAGAUAAACAAUGUCUUGGUUAAAGUUCUUGGUCCAUGGGUACAGUCUAAGUUUUAUACAAAGAGGCCAGUGAAGAGAAGAUAAAUAUAGAGAGAAAAAGAAAGAGGCUAAGACACUGAGUUAUCCCAAAGGGCAUUCCUGUAUUAGUCAUCUUAUAAAAAUGAUACGUACCACAGAAUAUCUAUUUUUAGAGGCCAGGAGGUUAUGUGAAGCAGUUCAGAUGUCGGCAAAGACCCAGAGGCCAGCUCCUAGUGAUGAUAUUGGAUAUUUAGAUAUUUAUUUUCUUUAUUUUAACUGUGCAAAGCUGGUACUGACCACAUGGACCUGUUGGCCACUUGGGGACAGUGUGACAAGUUCCAUGUGCUUCCUCAAAGACAUCUGAGACCUAAAGUGAUUCUUUUGUGUUAUUUUUGUCCAUGGUCUAGGCCUGGGCACCACACAUGCACACACACACACGGGAGCGGCUCAUUAUGCACACUGUUUAAUUAUCACACCCAGCGGAGACCUAUUUCAGAAGAGGAAAGGAUGUCCCCAGCUCUCACACUAGGACUCAACUUUUAUUAAAAGCCUGAAGGAGCAUGAGGAAGAGACCUCUCCAUUCCUCCUAAUGAUCUGAUUAGGGUAUUUUAUUUCAGCUCUUUCUCAGGAGUUAAAUCUUAGCUGAGUGUCUAGAGGCAGGUAGCUUGCAGCUUCUCUCCAGGGCAGAGCACAUGCUAGCUGGCUCCUGAACAGUUGCAAAUCUGUGGGAUUCAGUGAUUGGAGCUGAAUUAAACCGCACCUGAAAUGCACGGCCCUCUCACCUGCUGCCCAUGCGCUUUGCUUCUCUGUCCUUUAUUCAGUCAAACCCUGCUCCAGGAGGCUUCUCGAGGCUCCACUCUCUGAUUUGCUCCAAAGACGGGUCUUACCCUGGUUGGGGGCUGCUGUCAUAGGCGACCCUGCACAGCCCGGCGGUUGGCCUUCUGUCUGUCCAUGACCCUCCUCCCUUCUUCCAGUCCAGAGUCCGGGGCCUGUUUCUACCCCACACUCCAUGCAGGUAGUCGGACAGAUUCAGGGCUGGAGAAAGGUACUCAGGAGUACACGGUGCCUCUCUCCAGGCCACUGGGGUAGGCUCUGCAGAUUUAGCAGAGAAAAAAACACAGGACCCCCGGUUCAAUGUGAAUUCCAGAUAAAUGACAGGUAUAUUUUUAGUGUAAGUAGGUCCCACACAGCAUUGGGACCUACUUAUAUUAAUACAUUUUCAUUGUUUAUAUGAAAUUCAGUUUGAACUGGAAGCCAUGUAUUUUACCUGGUGACCCUCUCCCAGGGCACCUUUCUUACGGGCAGUCACACGGGCCCCAGCCCAUCCUAGCCCCUCUUCAGACAGACAGCACUUAGGAACGAAGAGAGGACACCACCCUCUGAAAUCCCACUGGUGCUGAUUUUCUUAUCCUUAGGAGGACCUGAGGUUCCCUGGCUUAGGCAUGACUCCCAGGACCCUUUCCUAGGAAUCAGCUGCAGCGGUUGGGGGCUGUUUCACUGUAACCCCACUGCCUUGGAAGACCUGGAAGUUACCGCCAAUGCUCGGGCCAGGGCAUGAUUCUAAGGGCUCUACAGCGAUACAACUAAAAUGUCUCAUGUUGGCGCUGCUUUUCAUUUAGACAGUUCAAAGCAUGUGCUUCGUACUUCCUGCUGACCCCCCAACCACUGAGUGAGACAGGACUUGUAGGAAAAUCGGUCUUGGGGACUUGUGACUUAACCCAAAGCCUUCUGGCUGACCACUGGUGGGAUGCAUUGAGGGCGAGCCUCCUGGAUUCUCUUUCACUGGCCUGUCCGUAGACACAGCAGCUGCCUGGGCCUUGCGUCCUUUCUGGCCACAGGGAGGUGACUCAGGGUAGUGACCAAUUGCCCUUCUUUCCUUUGCUAGGCCUGUCCUUUUACUAGCUCCAGGAUAUUAAUUAUGCAAAGAGUUAACCAUAAUUAAUUUUGAAAGGAGACUAAACAAACCAUGCUUAUUAUUAAUUUCUUUAAUUACAUAUUACUUUUUUAUAUAUUUAUUUCUAAAGUAGUCCAAUAAAGUUCACAAAAUUCAGAAAAACAUUAACAUUAAAAUAAUAAUCACUAAGGUCCACUCUCAAUACACUAGAAAGACCCUUAUUAACAUUGUGUUUUUUAUCUGUAUCUAUUUUUGAGGCAUACCUAAACGCACAUGUCCAUUCAAAUUUGUGUAAAUGCCUUGAAACACACUUUAUGAAAUUAAUAAUGUCCUUAAAUAUUUUAUCCUGUUUUUUCACAUAGUGUACCCCACAUACCUUUUCAAGGGCAUUUAAAUGUUCUUUGAGAGAAUGGGGUUUACAUACUUCCCAAUAUUCACAUCUGUUUCCUCUCAUGCCUUCAGGGGGCUCUGAAUUCUAACUAGGCCCCUGCAGAGCCCUGAUGUCAUGGGUCACCUGGAUGGAAAACGUUCUGGAUGGUUAGAAACCCGUGUCCACUCCCGGCCGGUUUGUACUGCUCAGGAGACCUAAGAAAGCCAGCCAACCAUCAUGUCACGUUUUCUGCAUAUGAGAAACGGGAAUGUGCCCAUGUUCUUCUCAAGCUAGAAGAAAUGGAAAGACAAACAGGACUUUAAAAGAAAACGUUUGGGUAUGUCUUCAAGGUUGGGUGCUCCCGACAUACAUAAGCUGUAUUUAUGCUUGUCUGGGCCCCACUUGAGGGUUCACACAUUAUUCUGGCUCUUUGAGAAGAAAAUUCUCUCCUGACACUUGAUGAAUAUAUGUCAUCCCCUGUCUGAACUUAAGUGAAAAUAAGCAUUUAUUGAGCACUUAGGAUCCAUACACCCAUCUAUGCAUUCAGCCAAUCUUUAUUACAUGCCAACUACCUGCUGGGCACUAUGCUGGGCACAUGGACAUGAAUGAUUCCACUUCACCCUCCAGAAACACCCUGAGAUGUCAGUAUUGUUAUUAUUAAGGCUCCGUUAAGAAGUAUUUUAAAAUAAUUAUAAGGUCACAGAAGGUUGUUGAAAUAGUACAUAGAGUUUUAGACACGCUCCCUCCAAAUCUCCCCAGUGGUGAAUUUCUACCUAUUUCCCCUGCUCCCUUCCUUCUUCCUUCCCUGCCUCUCUCUUUCUCUUUCUUUCUUUUAUACAGAAGGACACCGAGGCUCAAGACAGCUAAGUAGCUUUCUUAAAUGAAAUAUCAGGAUAAUAUAUGUAAGGACAUUAUGAAUUUUAAAAGUAUGUUUCUAGGCAUUUACACAAGCAUGAAUGUAUGCAUGUAUUUAUGUGCCUUAAAGAACAGAUACAAACAAAAAGACCAAAGUGUUAAUACGGGUUUCCUCAGCUAUCAAAGCAUGACAGAGUGAUGGUUAUUUUCAUAUUCAUGUUUUUCUCUAUGUCUUGAUGUUUCAUUUUUACAUUUCCACCUAGUUAGAGGAGGGUGGAGACUAGGAUCUAACUUGGGUCUGUUUGAAUCCACAUAAAACCCCUCCCACCUCCCAGGGGAAUGUAUGCUGAUUCACAAGAGCCCAGAGGGAGUGUGAAAUCUUUUAUUUCAGAGCCAGGAGUACCAGUCAGUCAUUUCCCGCUUCCCAGCGUGCUUCAGGACACCCCUGAAGUAGCCCUUGUGUCCUAGAGUGGUUUUCUUCUCAGCUGGGGGAAGAAUUUGGGUUGACUUACUAACACUACAGGUAGAAACAAAAAUAGAACCCCCUGACCAUUUGUUUCCUCUUGUGGACACCCAGCUUUGCUCAGUGGGGCUGGAGGAGAUGCUGCUUCUAUAAAUAUACAGAUGCAGGAGGAUCUGCCUCCGGGUCAUCAGCCCCUAGAUGGGACUGCAGAGAAUGCAUGCUACUGCAGGCACCCAGCUCUGAGAAAGCUCUGGAUUUCUGAGACUCCCUGAACACUUAGUGAUCGUACAUAAAGAAGCCAAAGACAGCCAAUUUCCUUUUCAGAGUUUUGGAUUUUUCUGUCCAGAAUGCAUAUAAGCAUGUGUAUUCAAUAAUAGCACUAACACAAUAGGAAGCUCUCUACUGGCUUCCCUCUUACCUCUUUGCUCCUGUCAAAUGGAUACCUGAACGCCUUAAGUCAAACUGUAUUUUAUUCAGAGAAUGGGUUACUUGAGAUAUGGUUGUGACAUUAACCAGGGCCAAGCCCAGUGGCAGUUCCGCCAAGAGCCUUCAUGUGGAAUCUGGAUUUCAGCACAGGAAGAGCCCAGCUUCGCUCUGUUUUUGCUUGGCUUGGAUGCUUUUGCUCAGUUCCUACCCAAGUGGCAGGGGUUUUUGCCAAGAGCAGGAUGAGUUCCUGGCCACGGGGACAGUGUCUGUUGACAGCAUGGGUGGUUCACAGAAGCAAAUGCCUCCAACUGCAUGGGUCCAACUUCCUUCAUGAUGGACGGGAUUCCAGAGAAUCAUACCCUUGCUACUUGACCUGCCAUGAGAAGGAGCAAAGGGCUGCUGGCACUGUGGAAUUGGAUGUGGCCAAAGAACUGAAGGGGACAGAGGAAAACUCUUGGAAUAUGAGACCCCUGAAUCCUCAAAUUUCACUUUUCAAAACUGCUGCCUUCCUUCUUUUCUGUCGGUCUUGAACCAACAUGUUGCUGGGCCAUUUUACCAGGAGACCCUUCUCGGGAGGCCUUCCCAAAUCGCCAGAUAAUAUUCUCUUCAAACUACUGUGGGAUUCCUACCCACGCUCCCCACCCUCACCCCCUGCACACACACACAGUCUGCUCUGGGAAGUGGUGUUGCUGAUCCCGAAAUGCAAUACUGGGACCCCAUCAAAUGGAAGCACCCCAGAUUCCUGUGUCAUGAGGUCACCAAAUAUUGGCAUUAGAAAGGGAAUCUGGUAGACAUGAAGUUUCCGCUCUUUUCCCUGGUGGGACUUGAUCUGCUGAGCCCGAACGAAGGGAAAUAUUUUCAAGACCUUCUAAUAUGAGAUGCCAUCGAGUGAAUGACUUCUUUUGUGUGAGGGGCUGAUUCCUCUCUUCUUGAGGUUAUUUAGAUUCCACUUAAGCAAGGUAAGAAGGCCAGCUUAGGGCUAUGUUUGGAGACAGUGAAGCAGAUGGAACUAUUAUCAAAGAAAACAGGAAGCUCUGAUAUUUUGUGGGCAAUUUUAUUUUGUGAGGGGAGAGCUUUGGGGAACCAAAACCAAACUGUAUCUUUCUAGUAGAGAUCCAAAAAUAUGGUCUAUCCCUGGAAACAGGCAAGUUUACUAAACCGCAAAUGACACAUAGCCAUUUCCAACUGAACGGAGCCAGGUUCCCCUGCAGGGCUGGCGGGCUGGAUUUGACUGGUACCAGCUCACAAGGGCCAAGUGUUAAAUUUCCAGAAAUUUCGAGUCAGUGUUUAUAUACAGCCAUUAUUAAAACCUAAAUCAUGUAAACUUACAGUCAAAUGCCUUCAAUUUUUAAAGACGUACUAAGUACUCAAAAAUCCUCACUCUCUAACUCUCUUGCUGUGCUGUACUAUUAUCUUUGCUUUUGUUAUGAUCUGCACCUAUUGUACCACGUAGUGGGGGAUCACUGCACAUCCCUUCCCACCUCCACAUUUGGGGACAUCACGGGAGCUUGAAAUUGACCAGGGUGCUGCAAAUCAAAUUGCUUCUCCUUUUUUUUUUUUUUUUUUUUGUCCGGGAGAGCCAGUUGUAAAAUAUUUACCAGCACACUACUCAUCUGCAGGACCCAUCCCCAGUGUUUAAAACCAGGAACUGGACCUGCAGAGUCAAGGAGAUGUGUGUCUGGGCAAACUGCCUCUGGCCAUUCGUCAGAACCUACAGUUAGUGGGCAUCCGUCCAUUCACAUCUGAGGCAGAAGAGACAAGAAGAUUAUUGUACAUGGGGUUGAAUGAUGUGAACUCUCACAUCAGUUCGUUUCAUUUUUCCUAAUGAAUUAAGAGCCUUUUAUACCAUUUAGCUACUGUCCUACAGAAGCUUGGCAUUUUAAGGCAAGGAAGUUUAUUUCCUCACGUGUUUCUAAGAAUCUUCUUUCCAGCCUUCUAUAUGGGCUUUGACUUACAGGGUAUGAAUAUCAGUAACCAUAUGCUUUCUCUAGCUUUUCUUCCCCCUUUCCUGCUUGGUGCAUAGCAUUCUUCAUGAAAGCCACAAUUAUUGCUAGAAAAGACCCCGACUCCUGAAAAUUAUGGUUUUGUGACAAACAUAUUAAGCUUUUCUAUAAUGCCAUUUGCAGCUUUAAUCAUAUUUUUAAAAAAGGAGGUUGAAGAAACCCAGCAUCUUCUUUUGUUGAUGUAAAUGAAGGGAACUCAAAUAUAUAACAUCAAAAACCAUUAUCAGUGAAAAGUUGCAGCUGAAAUUGAAUGAUGAAUUUUUCAACUUAAAGGGAUUUGAAAAGUUUACUCUGAUUUAUUCCCUUUUUUCCCCUCUGUUGGAAUAAUAUAGUUUUGCUUGAUCUUGUUGCCUUUCUAAAUUGAUCAAGUGGCUGCCAAUAUUUGGAGGAAGAAUAAAAAGGAGUCCAACCUACUACAUCUUUGUUUGGUCCUCCAAGGCCCCUCUGUCCCCCUCCAAGUGCCUGGCCGUGGACAGAGCCAUGUUUUAAUAUCUGUUGUCUUGCCAAGUCAAAAAGGGAUUCACUGUUCUCAAGGUCUCUGGACUAUCACUUUCCCCAAAACAUCCAUCCCGGGUAUUGCGGGAGGCAGAGAAGCUCUGCAUAGCUAUUUAUUUUAAGUGCCUGAUUAAAAUUUCAUGAAAACAGGAAGUCAGGGGAAAAGAAUAGAUUGCAAGAGCGAUGAAAUCCGGGGCUUUGUAAUUUUUAGCUCACAGGGAAAAAAAAAGCGUUAAAUCGUAAGGAAGGUAUAUUUUCAGAAUCGUGCUGUGGCCACUAAUGGCAUAUUUUGUCACUGGCUGGGGAGCUGGUGAACUAAGAAUGGGCUCAAUUUUUUAAAUCUUAUUACACAGUUUUGCUCUCAUUUAGAAAUUGUCACCUUAAAGUAACCUAAUGCUGCUCUACUUAAAGCAAACCUCAUGCACUAUCUCUGUGUGCAUGCUGACCACGUUGCCUUCUAUCUAAGCAGAUAUAAAUGUUGUCCUGACACAAUCAAACAGCACAGAAUCUGUCCACCCCAUAAGUUGGUGUUGCCUAAGAACUUAAUCUUAUCUAACUCCCAUAUCCAAUGGGAUAAAGAGUUUUGGGGAAAGAAAGUAAUGACAUAUUUUUUUGCUGGAUGACAACUGAAUUAUUUCUUUAUACGGUCAAUGGGAAGUGAUGUUUCUCCAAAGAAAUAUCUGUCACCACUUAGCUGUCGAGGAAGUCAGCAUUCAGAAAAAAAGAAAAACAUAAAGAAACCAUAGGCACACUAAAGCUUUCAGUGCGACCCAGUGCAAUUGUAGGGGCACAAAUGACACAUCAAAUGUUCCUGUUGUGAUGCUGUUCCUGGUCAUUCCAGAAUCCCAGAUGGAUGCUGGAUAGCCAACUGUAAGCUUCGGGAUCUCAAGCUGAGCUGUCAUUUGGCUGACCAGACAGGAAUAAUUGCAACAGGCUAAUGGCUAGUAAGUUUCAUUUGCUCAUCUUAAAUAAAUCCCUAUCUGAAAAAAAAAAAAAACCGGCUUCAAAGUCCAGUCGCAGGGGGAGGCGUAAUCCUUAGGAGAUGGGUCGGCAUGCAGCGGGAAAUCGAGCAAGAUGGAAUUGCACGCCCCCCUGGCUGAUGCAGCUAACUCACUUCCCCUCCCCUUAGCAAAGGUUAAGUCCUUUAGAUCUCUUUCCGGGUCUCCCAUUUGCCCAUGGAAACUGACCUGCACAGGGUUGAGAGACUUUUAUCGAGUAGGAAAAGCAACUGAGGAUGCUGAUGGGAACAGUGGGAUGUCAGGGCGUCCUUUCCAAAGCUCCUCAAAUCCCCCUGGGCCUGAGUAGGCUGCAGUGUAUCCCUGGGGAAAUCCAAGUAUCUCCAGGAUAAGUGUGUGUGUAUUUACACAAGGUAGCUUGGGGUCAUUUCAUGCUGAAUACCACUGGACCUUCACAGCUAUGUUAAUUGAGGUAGAAGAAAAGGCAAUAAACCACAGUAAACGUUUCAAGUCCCCUCAAAGUUGGAAGGCCAGUCAUUUAACUGAAGCUGCUGUCGGCCUAAUGAACUCGUUGCCAUGGGACUGAGUUGGUAGACAGGCCUUGCUGCAUGAUGAUCUACACCACUCAAGGACUUAUCAUUUGCACAAUGUGUGACAGUGGAUGAGUCAUUGCAUCUCUCUGUCCCUCAGUUGCCCCCCCAUCUGUAGAAUGGGGCUUCUGAUAGUUGUUAUGCUCACUGCUCCCCACCUCUGUCAGCACUUUCUUAAGAAUGGGCUUUGUUUGCCUUGGAAUUCUUUGCUAACUCCUCUGCAAACUUCACUACCUCCCUGGGUAGCCACUGUCUCUUGCUCAACAAUCCAGUCUCACCAUUCAGCAACGUGUCUGGCCACAGUAGUUGCACUGUAGUAAAUAUCUGUAGAAUGAAUGAACAAGAGAAUGAAUACUUUAAGACUGCUGUGAGAAUAGAUAUAAGACCAUACGUCACUGCUCCUUGAAGACUUUCAGAGAGCCAGCAUUUCCUGUGCUGGGGUCAGGUCUGAGCAGAGAAGGACCCGCUGUUUCCUGGUCACCCCAAAGGAGCAGCUGUAGAGAGGCGUUCUCCUCCCAGCUACGGUGGAGGAAUAAUGUUAGCACAGUCAUAGCUGGGAGAGGAAUAGUUAAUUGAAUGGAAUAGAUAACUACUCUGGCUUUGCCACAUAGAAAGCUCUGUGCUGUAAUUUCAUGACCAUAUCUACUGUCAAGCACUAUUGACAAAUAGAUCAGGAAAAACAUAUGAAGAAAAGAAAAACAACUAGAUGCUAGGAGAGAAAUCUCUUGGGAGGAGCAUUUGUAUGAUGGGUCCGAUGCUAUCAUUCAGAAAACCCUCAAAAUUCUUUUCCCAUCCCUCUGUCUUUCUCCUUGUGCUGCAUAUGAUUUUGAGGCAGAAGACGUGGUGUCUCUUCUCUGGAAUUUGGAAAUCUAAGCCUGGUGCUCCCAGGGAGAUAUGCUUCUCAGAGUUCUCCAACUGCAUAGCAUUUAUGAAGCAACUUCCUCCAAGGAGCCCCAAGCAUUUAGAAUCCUAAUCAAAUUCAGCCUUACAACAUUCGGUGAUAUUAAAUGACUUUUGCCCAAAGCUCCAGCAAGCAAGCCAUCAUCGGAUUGGCAAGAAGCCUCUGUGAUUUAAUCACAGGCUUCUGUAGACUCACAGAGCACUUUGUGGAGACCUUGCUCACAGCAUUUGCUGCGCUUUGCCUUCAGAUACGUGCAUCCAUCCUGCAUGCAUUUCUCUCCCCAGCUUGACUCUAAACUCCCCAAGGGCAGGGGCAACAUCUAGAUUGCCCUGAUAUACGUACACAAUCCUGGGCAGAGGGAGAGGCAUAUUUGUCUGUAGAACUGUAUUAGGCAUUUAUAUUUACUUCAUAGCUAUUCCAUCCACUCCUGCAGUAGCUGCAGGUGAGAUCAGGCCCAGUUCCUCUGGCAGCUCUGGGCAGGGGAAAUGGGCCUCUGUUUGCAAGCUUGUUACUCUCCUGUAUAGUAGAGUCACUGAAGCACUAUCUUGCCUGCAUAGGAUGAUUCAUGCUGAAGGAGGAAUGUGGCUUCUACCCAAGAGAAGCUGAGAGUGGCAUUGAGGAAAUCAAAUGACACUGGGACAGUGAAGGGCCCUUGGCUUGGGGGCUGAAACCACCUGGAUGUCAGUCCAGGCUCUAUCUCUCAGUAACUCUGUGUCCUUGAGCGAGAUCCUCCACCUCUCUGAAUCUCAUAUGCCCCAGGCCGCUAUCUCUAAACCCCUACACAUUUUAGAUUGUCUGCCUUUGAGCUCACUGACCUCUGAGGUAACACACCUUUUCUUCACAUGGACUAGAUUUCCCUGUAAGCACCAUUUUCCAUGGCUAUUUCCCCAACUAGAAGUUGAGGUCUUUGGAGGCGGUGACCACAGUUUAUUCAUCCUUACUUCCCUGGAGCCCACCAUUAUUCCUAGAAAAUGAAGAUGAUAAUACAAUCACCUAUCACACAGGAUUGUGAAUUAGAGGUCUAUUUACGGAAGUGCUUAAUAUGGUGUCUUUUUCACAUAGGAAGCAUAAAAAAGCUUCUGGCUCUUGCAAUAUUUAUUCAGUGAAGGUGUGAAAUGAACCAUCCUAUUGGAAUAGCUGGCAUUUUCCCCAUUUUACAGAUGAGGUAACUGAGUCUCGGAGACACAAGCGUGUUGGAGGUUCUUGUACGGGAAAGAUGCAGCCGACUGGCGUGCACAUUGUGUUGGUGAUGGUGAGAAUUUGCAGAGGGUAGAAGGAUGGCUUUUUGUUCAAGAGACUUUAAGAAGGAGGAGGCUCUUGCUCACAGUGGUUGGGGAACAGUUCUGUUGGGAAAUCCUGAGCCCUAGAAUUCCGGAGUCCACAACAGGAAGAACCUGAAGAUCCUGUAGGAAAUGUGUCCUGAGGAUUAAUGGUGGGUCUAAAUGCUGAGUGAGGACUUUUCUCUUUCCUCAUCUGCAUUUGGGAGAUCUUUACUUUUCCUUUUUAAAGAUCAAUGUGCUAUAUUUCUUUUUUUCUGAAGGUACAUCUAUUAAACUAACGGUGGUUGAGCAGGCAGACAAUUCCCCACCAUGUAAUUAACCCCCUCGGGGUCCCAUUAAGAUCCAAUGAUAUUUUGUGAUUUUAUUAACUAAAAGUAAAUAGGGACGGUAGCUACUGGGGAGCUCAGAUUUAGAAUUCUCGGUCUCUGGAGCACAAGGGGUUCACUUUAACAGUGUGUUCCCUGCCUAAGCAUUUUCUAUGUGUUCUCGCUGUUAAUUCACUAUUGUAUUGAAUCCUACAGGGGAGUAUAAUGUAUUGGUUAGGAGAGAAUUCUCGGGAGCUGGGCUUCGGCAGUACUAACUGAACGAUCUUGGAUAAGUUACUCAACUCUCUGAGCUUCGGCUUUUUCAUCUAAAAUAUGAGGGUGACGAUAGCAUUUACUGCCUUGUGGUAAGGAUGAAAUAAGAUAAGCAGCCAAGUGCACGGGAGAGUCUGAGGCACUUAGCUAAUACUCUUCAAAUGCUAUUGCUCCAUAGCAGCAGUAAAAUCAGGGGCCCUGGGUGUCCACCUCUUCUUCUCAGGUACAGAGACAGGCCCAGUGGGUAGGUGAACAUGGCCCAAGACCACCCAAGUGACAGCUGGGAGGUAAACCAGGUCUGGUUGGCUCCAAAGCCGGUACUUCUUCCUACUCUGUUAGCACCAGGAAUAACUGGCCACUGCUCUGUGGGUACCAGUUAGACAGUAAAUAAGAGAAGGCAUUUCCAUGCACUUCAUCCAGAUUCCAGAACCCUGCAGGCGAGAGACUGAGACAGAGCGGGAGAGGAUAGUUUGGGGAAAGGCAUUAGGGGCUGCAAGAGGCCUUUGUGUGCCCCCGGCCAGCUCCUGGAUGUGGGAAGGGGCUCAGCAUGGCCUCAGUGGAGGUGAGAAGUGCACAUAGCCAGGAAGAUGCUGAAAGGUCUUUCAGGCCAUGCUGAGAACUCUCAUUUCCCUUCUCAGAAGAAUUGAAAACCGUUGAAGGGCUUAAAUCAAGGGAGUGAUUUGAUCUGAACUGUAUUUUUCAUCUAAAAUAUGAGGAUGAUGAUAGCGUUUACUUCCUUGUGGUAAGAAUGAAAUAAGAUAAGCAGCGAAGUGCAAGGGAGAGUCUGAGGCACUCAGACUGCCAGUUGGGAAAGAAUGGGAAGGUGUGAGUGGCUGGCAAGAGGGGAGGGGAGGAGAACAGUUGGCAGACAACUGCUGAAUGAUUUCUCGGUGCGUCUCCAGUACCCAGAAGAGCCUCGCCUCUUUGCAGUCCUGUUGGCUUGAAGUGUGAAUGCACAUACCCAGGGUGUUUAUUCCAUGCAGUUUUGUGUCCCCAGAGGUCUCCAGCAUCACCUGCUGCCCAUCUCACCCUUGCAGAUGGGGUGCUCUUCUAGCAGAAGUCAGUGCACUGGGAGAGGGAACAUGUGACCAGGCUGGGAGGGCUGAGUCAGGAUGCAUGAACUGUCACAAGGGUGUCAGGUUCUAGUGCCUUUUCCCACCUGGCAACAGGUAAUGGGACACGAGUAGCUGCCUGUACUGUGAACCCAGAGCAUCCUGGAUGAAUGCGAUGUCACACCAGCCCCGUGGGCUAGGAAAUGGAACUAUGUGCCAGCCCAGCUGUACCCGUGCAGAGCACAGGCAGGAACCUGGGGUAUAUGAGAGCAGCGCUGCCUGAUGUGGCCUCAUGCCAGGCCCCGUGGAUCACAGGCUCUGCUGGUCCCCAUGGGCUGGGGAAAGUUAGCAGUGAUCACAGUGAGGACCUGGGUUUGGUAUUGCAGCUGUUAAGCAGAGAGAGGGAGGCACAGAGCCAAGACAUAUUCUUUAGACAUGACACCUCUCAGGUGCCCCGGAAGGCUGUGGCACACUUGGGCUUGGCAUUGAGAACUGAGGGCUCUUGGGAAUAGUUUUCCUUGGAAAUUUUGGGGUGGAGACCACUCCCCCCCCAAUAAAAUCCAGUUUAGACAAAGCAGGUUGCAGACCCAGAUGCUCUCUCUCAUGGGCAGAGCUCACCCCCUCUGUGAGUUAUAAUAGCACAUCCAGCUUGUCUUUAGAACCGGGAUAUUUUACACCCCAUCUCCUGUGGGAUCAUCUGUCCUUGCUUGUCCCUGAGGAGGUUACAUUAUUGUUUCUAGAUUUCAUGAGUUCUGGGUAACAGCUCCAAGUAUGCUGGUCUGUGUUGUGUGCCCUUCGGUAAGUCACUGAACCACUCUGAUCCUCUGUAGUCUCAUGUGUACAAGGGGGAUGAUUGCUCUGGUGCUGCCAUAGGCAGGUUAUGAGGAUCAAGCAAGGUAAUAAGCUUGAAGAACUUUAGAAAGCUAGAAAGCAGAAUAUGACUGCUUUAUUAGUAUUAGUGAAAAUAAUAAGUUACUAUCAGUAGACCCUUAUUGAGCAUCUACUAUGUCCUAGGUGCUAGGGAUGCCCAGAUGUGGGACACAUGGGUCUUUCACUUCUAGGAACUUCUAAUCCUCAUGUAUAUAUAAUAGAGCUAAUAAUACUAACUAAGGCUUACUAUGUGCCAGGUACUGUUCUCAAUAUUCUGUGUGCAUUAAGUAAUUCAAUCCUCACAGUAACCCUACUAUGUAAGACACUAUUACCAUCAUUUCACAGAUGAGGAAACUGAGGCACAGAGGGACCAGGUAACUUUUUCAAAGUCAGGAACCUGGUGAGAAUUGGUGCCAGGAUCAAAUCCUUGCCAGCCGGUUGUAGAACCCGUAUUCCUAACCACUACCCCACAUGGUCUGUUGAAGAAGCCUCAAUGACGGCUUUAGGAUUCCCCGUGGUAGUUACACAAGAUAUCUGUCUGUGUGCAAAGUGUGGGUUAUUAACCACUUCCCCAUGUGGCCUUGGGUUCACCAUUGAAGCCCAGAGAAAGACAACUGAACUCCUUGGUGCGGUGAAGUCACUGACAUGAUGUCACACUUCCACUUGGAGGCAUCUUUCAUGUCACUGAACAGAGUCGUGGUGGCAAGUUAAUAAAGGGACCCAGAGACAGUCCUGUGGUAGGAGAGGGCUUACACCAAGCACCAUAGCUACUGUGACCACGUGGCCCUUGAGGAGGCAGCCUGGAGAAGCCCAUCAUGCAUCUGGUGCCAACCCCCAUCAGUGGCCCCCACUGGCCAAAUCCAGGCAAUGGGACCCUGGCUGACCUCAGCCACACAAAGCAGCUUCUCAGGGCACAGAACUGUGCAGACAAGGCUGGAUGUGGGGUCUGUAGGAGUAGACAGAGAGUAUCUAGAGGAAUGAUAAAUCUGUUUCAAACCCCAGAGUCUUCUGCCACUCGAACCUGAAUUUUCAGUCAUCCUGUUGCAAGAAUAUGGCAGUGCUAGAACCAUGCACGGACGUGCUUGGGAACAUCAAAGCUUUGGGUA